GCUAACGCGCGGAGGCAGGUUCCCGCCUGCGGGCUCCGUCGCGGUGGCUGCGGCAUGGGACUCGGGGCGGGGCGGCAGUACGGGACGCGGGGCACGGGGGAGGGUCAGUGCGGAACGGGGGUGGGCAGCAUGGCGCGCGCACGCGGGAGACGGAAGCGCGGCGGCUCUUCGGCCGUUGUCAAGCGAUGAGGCGCGUCUCCCCAUUGCACAGAGGGGGCAACUGAGGCGAACGCAGGCCUCAAGGUCGCGCCGCCAGUCAAGGUCGACUGGGGUCCCGCGCCCGGACCCUACGCCUCCGCGAGCGGAAAUGGGGAUGGCGCGUCCCCGAGACCUAGGAGCAGCCUUGCGUCCGCAUUCCGCGCGGGCAAACACCACGUCGCGUCCUACCAGGCAAUGUCAGGAAGGAGGUUGCCUUUGAGCAUCGCUGUUUUCUCUAACGAGGAGGAAGCCAUUAAAACAGGAGCCUGGCCAGGCUCUUACCUGUGAAGAUGCAUUAUGCACAUUUUGCCCUCUUACUCUUUUUGAAUCUCUGCUCCUGGUCUUUCCCUGCCCCCGCCCCGCCCAGCUCCUACCGCCCCCGCCUCGGGGCUGAAUUGUGCUUUGAUUUUUGGGUGAAAGAUAAGUCACAAUUUAAAAGCGAAUUUCUUCAGGCAAAGACAUUAAUAAUACUUUAAUUAAAAUGCACUUGUAGGCCAGGCGCGGUGGCUCAUACCUGGCGCUUUAGGAGGCGCGGAGGCCAAGGCCGGGGAGGAUCGCUUCAUCUUAGGAGUUCGACACCGGCCACCAGCCUGGGCAUCUUAGAGAGACGCCGUCUCUACAAAAAAAUAAAUAAAAAUAAAAAUUAGCUGGGCGUCGAGGCGCUCGCUACUCAGGAGGCUGGGCGGGGAGGAUUGCUUGAGCCCGGAGGUCGAGGCUGUAGUGGGCGGUGAUCGCAUCACUGCAUUCCAGCCGGGACGACAGAGUGUGACCCUCUCUCAAAAAAUAGGCCGGGUGCGGUGGAUCACGCCUGUAAUUCCAGCACUUUGGGAGGCCGAGGCGGGAGGAUCACCUGAGGUCAGGAGUUCAAGACCAGCCUGGACAACAUGGUGAAACCCCAUCUCUACGAAAAAUACAAAAUUAGCUGGGCAUGGUGGUGCGCACCUGUAGUCCCAGCUACCCCCUCGGGAGGCUGAGGCAGGAGAAUCGCUGGAACCCAGGAGGUGGAGGUUGCAGCGAGCAGAGAUGGCGCCACUGCACUCCAGCCUGAGAGACAGAGACUCCGUCUCAAAUAAAUAAACAAAAAUAUAAAAUAAAAUGCACUUAUGUGACUGGUGUUUUGUUAAGAAAACCUUACAAGGGAAUUCAUAUAUCCUGGGCUGUCACUUAAGUUGCAAUAUUAAGGAUAUUAUUUAAUGUUUCUUUUUGUUUUUUUGAGACAAGGUCUCACUCUCACCUAGGCUGGAAGUGCAGUGGUGUGUUAUCGGCUCACUGCAACCUCCCCUUCCCGUGCUCGAGCAAGCGUCCCACCUUAGCCUCCCAAGUAGCUGGGACUACAGGCAUGCACCCAC
rnacentral:lncRNA from 10 species